GACAGAGGGUGCAAACGUUGUUCGGAAUUACUGGGCGUAAAGCGCGUGUAGGCGGCAGCGUGUGUCGGGCGUGAAAUCCCAUGGCUCAACCAUGGAAGUGCACCCGAAACUGCGCAGCUAGAGUCCUGGAGAGGAAGGUGGAAUACUUGGUGUAGAGGUGAAAUUCGUAGAUAUUGGGAAGAACACCGAUGGCGAAGGCAGCCAUCUGGACCGACACUGACGCUGAGGCGCGAAAGCGUGGGGAGCAAACAGG
rnacentral:rRNA from 1 species